GAGAGUAGCAUAUAUUAUUCAAAAAAAUUAUAUAAAAAUUAUUAUAAAUUACAAUAGUUAACAAGUUAAAAUAUCCAAGAACAAUUUAAUAUGUUAUAUAUUUCAAAAAAAAAUUACAUGAAAAAUACUAGAAAUCACAAUAAUUAACAACUUAAAAGAUUUAAAAGAUAUAAAAUAUUUGGUCGACUUUUGAAAUUAUAUUAGUGUCACUGGAAUUGGAAUAGAAGAAAAGUAUUAUAAAUCACAAUA
rnacentral:lncRNA from 1 species